AUGUGCACAGCCAAAUGUCGUCGUCGCGGACAUCGAAGUCCUUUAUAUUUUUUAGCACUUCCGGAGUCACAUCCUUCAUCAGCGGAACCCCUUCAUAUUCCCACAAGAGAGAAUCCAUACUGAAAGAACAGGUACCCACUUGUACUGCUGGGUGGUGAGAGACAACCGUAGGUAAAGCACCUUGCUGAAUGACACAGGCGAAAUCCAUAACGAGGAAUUGAACCUCCAACCUCAAAAUUGAGACGCAGAAACACAACACUGCGCCAAACCGCUCAUACAAUAUCAAUGGUUCAUGCUUUGGCAAAAGGGACUUUAAGAGAUAUCACUGAAGUUACAUCUGAGGAAAAAAUAGAAUCAUGGCUUAUUAAGACCGAUCAGGUGCAAGAAAGGCCACAGCCGAGAAGCAGAGAGCUACAGCACAAGGCGAAGACGUUCUUCAUUUAACUGACAGUGACUGAACAACAUGCCAUUAAGGAACUAUAUUAUCUAUCAAAUAUAUGAAAGAAAUUGUUUAGUUUGGUGGCAUAUUCAGUUGACUAGGGAACAGUGAAAUUACACUGUUCCCUGAGUUGACUCAUUUGGUAAUCUACUAUUUUGUGUUUUAACAUUUGAAUUAACUCAAUAAACGCAUACCAUGCCACA